rnacentral:rRNA from 1 species
CACUCAGACUACAAUCUUCAGACAGAGUUCGAGGGUGUCUUCGGCGGGCGCGGGCCCGGGGGCGUAAGCCCCCCGGCGGCCAGUUAAGGCGGGCCCGCCGAAGCAACAAGGUAAAAUAAACACGGGUGGGAGGUUGGACCCAGAGGGCCCUCACUCGGUAAUGAUCCUUCCGCAGGUUCACCUACGGAAAUCGAAUUCCCGCUGCCACC